rnacentral:misc_RNA from 1 species
GAUCCAAAUUCUGGAGUAGGUUUCUCUGGUUUGGACGACGGUGUUGCUUCAGAUACUUUCAAGAAGUCAUCAUUUCAUAGCCCUCAGGACCCUUCUUUUGAUGGUUUGUCCAGAACUGAAGUGCCAAUAUCGUCUCCCUUAGAGGUUGCAAGUAACACUGGUUCCCAAGCUUUAGAUAUAUCUAUACCUUGUGAUAGUGAUGACAAAAUGGACUGCAAUAGGUCGGAACAAGCA